GAUGAACGCUGGCGGCGUGCCUAAUACAUGCAAGUCGAGCGAACAGACGAGGAGCUUGCUCCUCUGACGUUAGCGGCGGACGGGUGAGUAACACGUGGAUAACCUACCUAUAAGACUGGGAUAACUUCGGGAAACCGGAGCUAAUACCGGAUAAUAUGUUGAAUCGCAUGGUUCAACAGUGAAAGACGGUCUUGCUGUCACUUAUAGAUGGAUCCGCGCCGCAUUAGCUAGUUGGUAAGGUAACGGCUUACCAAGGCAACGAUGCGUAGCCGACCUGAGAGGGUGAUCGGCCACACUGGAACGGAGACACGGUCCAGACUCCUACGGGAGGCAGCAGUAGGGAAUCUUCCGCAAUGGGCGAAAGCCUGACGGAGCAACGCCGCGUGAGUGAAGAAGGUCUUCGGAUCGUAAAACUCUGUUAUUAGGGAAGAACAAAUGUGUAAGUAACUAUGCACGUCUUGACGGUACCUAAUCAGAAAGCCACGGCUAACUACGUG
rnacentral:rRNA from 1 species